GCAAGUCGAGCGGGCCGAACGAGAGCUUGCUCUUGUUCGGUCAGCGGCGGACGGGUGAGUAACACGUGGGCAACCUGCCCGCAAGACCGGGAUAACUCCGGGAAACCGGAGCUAAUACCGGAUAACACCAAAGACCGCAUGGUCUUUGGUUGAAAGGCGGCUUCGGCUGUCACUUGCGGAUGGGCCCGCGGCGCAUUAGCUAGUUGGUGAGGUAACGGCUCACCAAGGCGACGAUGCGUAGCCGGCCUGAGAGGGUGACC
rnacentral:rRNA from 1 species